rnacentral:sRNA from 1 species
UAUAAUAUCAUUCGUGCCGUAGACAGCAGGUGACUAUUGUCGUAAAGUUUACUACCUGCCGAGGAUACAAGUUUGAUUGUAUUUUAUCUCUCUGUCUGCUGACAGAGAGUUUUUUUA